CCUACGGGGGGCAGCAGUGAGGAAUAUUGGUCAAUGGGCGCGAGCCUGAACCAGCCAAGUAGCGUGAAGGAUGAAUGCCCUAAGGGUUGUAAACUUCUUUUAUAAAGGAAUAAAGUGAGGCACGUGUGCCUUUUUGUAUGUACUUUAUGAAUAAGGAUCGGCUAACUCCGUGCCAGCAGCCGCGGUAAUACGGAGGAUUCGAGCGUUAUCCGGAUUUAUUGGGUUUAAAGGGGGCGUAGAUGGGUUGUUAAGUCAGUUGUGAAAGUUUGCGGCUCAACCGUAAAAUUGCAAUUGAUACUGGCAGUCUUGAGUACAGUUGAGGUAGGCGGAAUGCGUGGUGUAGCGGUGAAAUGCUUAGAUAUCACGAAGAACCCCGAUUGCGAAGGCAGCUUACUAGCC
rnacentral:rRNA from 1 species